ACAGUGCACCCAGCUGGGCGCUUCGGCAGUUUGCAGCUGCGGCGGGGUCGGGUCCACCCGCGGUCCCCGGAAUGCCGGACGGCUGAUCCCGGGUGCUGGUCACUCGCCGAUUCGGGGCUGGGAAGGUUUGCCAGAAGCGGGAAAGAUGGGAGAUCUGAGCGCUCUCUUGGCAUCGCCACACCCAGGACUUGCUCGUGCCGCAAUUCCCCACGGAAACAACCGAGUUGAAACGAGAAGCUUGCUCUCUGGGUGCAGUAGCUAGAAGGCUUCAGGUAACUCCAAAGCCAACACUGGGUGAGGCAACACACGCCGCCUCAGGACUCAGCAUUUCUUUCAGGCUGCGUUUUCGUGGCAGACCUACCCAGAUUGAUGGAGAAAGUUUGGCUGGCGGAUAAGAAGUAACGCGGAAGAUGUAUUAUUGUGGCUGUCACUCAGGUUUUCUGCUCAUUGGUAGACAAAGGGUGAGGAGGUGACUGAAAUUGGAACAGUGGAAGGACCCUUCACCAAAACCUGGAACUUCAGAAGAAUGGCAGGGCUGAAAAUGAUUAGUGUUAAUUCAUUCCAGUUGUGUUACCCUACCCCUCAGACUGC
rnacentral:lncRNA from 1 species